ACCAGGGAAGGGGCCCCGGCGGUGCUCGCAGCCGCCCUGGGUGCCGGCGACACCCGCGGCCUCGCCGCCCGGCCCCCGUUAUGCAGGCGGCGGUGGCGGCCCCGCGGCCGGGGGGGGCUCGCAGCGAGGUGCCAAGCGCGCCCCGGCGGGGCUCGCUGCCCGCCCCCGGCCUCGGAUCCGCUGGCUCCUGGCGCUGCCCAAGCCCCAGGCUCGCUUGGUGCCGUGGAGGUGAGGCCGGCUUCCUCAGGCCACGGGGGCUGCUGGCAGAGAGAGGUGAAAUCGCUUCGUGCCCCCGCCAGGCCCUGCGUGCGGUCGCCGAUGUUUCGGUGGGCUUGCCAGGUGGUUGGGAAUGACAGAGGGCUGCAAAAACCCUUCGCAAUUCUUCGAAACGCUUGAUACUUGUCAUCUUUUCUUGAUAACAAGGUUGUCUUAUCAAAAUAUUCCAGGGUGUAGGAUGGAAACUCGUAUAUACAUAACUACCUACGUCGUCUGUGGGUGAGCUGGAAUGGAUGCACUGGACGGCUAAGCGCAAAUUCUGCGGGAGCGCGAGAGCUGGCAGAAAGGUCAAGAUGGAUCCAGCUUCAGGUGGGAACAAAGGUGGCCCCUGGGCUGAGGCUUCACAAAGGAAGGUCUGAUCUGGAGCUUGGUUUAAAGGCACAGGUGAAGAUCUUUGGAAAAGAACUUUCAUCAUGGAAACGAUGAUGUUGCAUCCGUACUCUUCUGCUGAGGCUCCAGCUGAGGACACAGUCGGUGCUACAGCCCGCGCACCUCAAGCAACCCUCUCUAGGACAGAGGCAGAAAAAGAAGAGGAAACCCUGAAGAACCUCGUGGACGUUCUGCAUCACGUCAUGCGAAACGAUCCCUCGCAGGGCGCACUGGCUCCGCGUUCAGCAGCGACACCCACUCGUAAUGAUACCGUCGAUGCUCUCUGGUUAAAAGUAUACAAGAAGCAUGCUGAGAAGCCAAAAAAAACGGGAAGGGUUGCAAUGACAAGAAAACCUACUCCAUCGACUAUGCCAUCAGUUUUGACACUCCAAGCUGACCCAGAUUUUUCUGCUGCUUUGUGUGUUUUUGAAUCUGCUCAGCUGACAGCAGCACUGGAAGAGCUGGCCUUCAUAUUGCAAGCUGUUGUUCCAAAGGGGGAAGAUAAGAUUCUCGAUCAGUUAAUAAGUGGAUUUAGUGAAAUCUUUAAAGAAUGUUUUAAAAAAAGUGAUGCUAAAAAUCACAACUAAGUUUGAAACCAAAACCCACUAGCAAAAUGUUGAAAAAAGUUGCAUUACUGUAAAAAGAUGGAACAUGGAGUUCUAGCCAAAGUCAUCUCGGGAACGAUUAAAACGUUAUAGAUAGUGGUAGGGAAUGCAUCUGACAGUGUUAAACCCCACAUCUCAAUGGGCAUGUUGAAUUGGCUGGGAUCCAGAGAGCAAAAGCUCAGGCACUAGAAGCAGAGAAUUUGCAAAAAAAAAAUCAUAUAAUUUUUCUAAAACUUCCUCUGCACCUCCCUCUCCAUCUCUCUGUCCACUAGGUCUAGGGGAGAGCUCAGCAGAAACCAGGAAAGUAAGACCUUUGAUUAACGUGCUUUAAGAUUUUAGCCCUCAGUUAAAACAUAUAUCAAUAAAUUUAAUAAAUAAAUAUAUUGGUAAUUAUAA
rnacentral:lncRNA from 1 species